AUCACCUCAUGUUCUUGUUACAAGGCAGAUUCUGAUUCAGUAGGUCUGGUCUCAGGCCUGGGAUUCUGCAUUUCUAACAAGCUCUCAGCUGAUGCCAA
rnacentral:pre_miRNA from 1 species